CGGCUCUUCAACGGGGCCUGGGCAGCUGCCGGGAAGGGAACAGCGUCAGGAUCUCUGCCGGGGUGACUGUGGGGAUCCUAGCCAGGCAUUGACAACACUUGAAGAACAAAGGAUGCAGCACUGGACUGGAGAGGGAUCCUGACUGAAAGAUUCAGCCAGGAAGACUGUUGGAACUUGUGGUGCGAGAGACCUUUGAAUUCACUUCGGGAAUGUCUACACUGGCAAGUUUCUGCACAAGUUAUUUGCAGUUAUUUUUAUGAAAGUGCUGGAAUUAAACUGCGAGUGCCUGUC